rnacentral:rRNA from 1 species
UACGUAGGGGGCAAGCGUUGUCCGGAAUCAUUGGGCGUAAAGCGCGCGUAGGCGGCCCUGUAAGUCCGCUGUGAAAGUCAAAGGCUCAACCUUUGAAAGCCGGUGGAUACUGCAGGGCUAGAGUCCGGAAGAGGCGAGUGGAAUUCCGUGGUGUAGCGGUGAAAUGCGUAGAUAUCUGGAGGAACACCGGUGGCGAAGGCGGCAUCCUGGGACCGGUAUUGACGCUGAGGCGCGAAAGCCAGGGGAGCAAAGCGGG